AGUGGCAAAGUGAGGGAGGGACGAAGUGACUAGUGACAGAGUGAGGGGAUGACUGGUGACAGAGGGAGGGAAUGACUAGUGACAGAGGGAGGGAGUGACUAGUGACAGAGGGAGGGAGGGGGUGACUGUCAUUAGUCACCCCAUCCCUCUCUCUGUCACUAGUCACUCCCUCCCUAACUCUGUCACUGUGUCACCCCCUCCCUCACUCUGUCACUAGUCACCCCCUCACUCACUCUGUCACUAGUCACCCCCUCUGUCCCUAGUCACCCCCUUCCUCACUCUGUCACUAGUCACCCCAUCCCUCUCUCUG